rfam:Pteropus alecto contig162402, whole genome shotgun sequence.
CCAAAAGCGCCCCCAACAGGGCCCUCCCUGAACUGUGGGGAGGUGGGUUCCCAGAGAACAAGGCUCCAUACCAGGGCAGACUGGGCAGGAGAUGCUGUGGCCCUGCCCCUGGUUUACUUGUCUCUAAAAUGAACAUGAUAAUGGUACCUACCUCACAG